GAUGAACGCUGGCGGCGUGCCUAAUACAUGCAAGUCGAGCGAACGGACGAGAAGCUUGCUUCUCUGAUGUUAGCGGCGGACGGGUGAGUAACACGUGGAUAACCUACCUAUAAGACUGGGAUAACUUCGGGAAACCGUAGCUAAUACCGGAUAAUAUUUUGAACCGCAUGGUUCAAAAGUGAAAGACGGUCUUGCUGUCACUUAUAGAUGGAUCCGCGCUGCAUUAGCUAGUUGGUAAGGUAACGGCUUACCAAGGCAACGAUGCGUAGCCGACCUGAGAGGGUGAUCGGCCACACUGGAACUGAGACACGGUCCAGACUCCUACGGGAGGCAGCAGUAGGGAAUCUUCCGCAAUGGGCGAAAGCCUGACGGAGCAACGCCGCGUGAGUGAUGAAGGUCUUCGGAUCGUAAAGCUCUGUUAUUAGGGAAGAACAUAAGUGUAAGUAACUGUGCACAUCUUGACGGUACCUAAUCAGAAAGCCACGGCUAACUACGUG
rnacentral:rRNA from 1 species